UAACUUCUUCCAUCUUCCGAAAUGGAGGUUUUACGAGACAGUUUACUUUUUCUCUUGGCUUUGGCGCUGGCAGUUGUGACCAUCCUUCAGGCUGAGCCUAUGCCAAAACCAGAAGACGAAAAUGUUUUAACCUAUUUGGGAGAAACGCUGGGCUGAAUUCUAUACUUCUCUUGAUAAGGAUUUUGAUAUGGAAGGACGUUAGAUCAUUCGUCAUUUAGAUGUGUAAAAUUCUUCCGAAGACAUCAAUAAAUAUCUAAAGCUACAGAAUUUUUUUAUGAAAAUAUAUAGAACAUUUUCCAUUUUAGAAGUAUGCAAGAAUAAAAUAUUUUGAAAUUUGUGCAUAUAAA